rnacentral:rRNA from 1 species
GUGCCAGCAGCCGCGGUAAUACGAAGGUGGCAAGCGUUACUCGGAAUUACUAGGCGUAAAGGGCAGGUAGGCGGUUUGAUAAGUCCGUUGUGAAAGCUCCCGGCUUAACCGGGAGAGGUCAACAGAUACUGUCGAACUUGAGUAUGGGAGAGGGUACUGGAAUUCCUGGUGUAGCGGUGAAAUGCGCAGAUAUCAGGAGGAACACCGAUGGCGAAAGCAGGUACCUGGACCAUUACUGACGCUCAGCUGCGAAAGCUAGGGGAGCAAACAGGAUUAGAUACCCUGGUAGUCC